rnacentral:rRNA from 1 species
GACGAACGCUGGCGGCGUGCUUAACACAUGCAAGUCGAACGGAAAGGCCCUGCUUUUGUGGGGUGCUCGAGUGGCGAACGGGUGAGUAACACGUGAGUAACCUGCCCUUGACUUUGGGAUAACUUCAGGAAACUGGGGCUAAUACCGGAUAGGAGCUCCUGCUGCAUGGUGGGGGUUGGAAAGUUUCGGCGGUUGGGGAUGGACGCGCGGCUUAUCAGCUUGUUGGUGGGGUAGUGGCUUACCAAGGCUUUGACGGGUAGCCGGCAUGAGAGGGUGACCGGCCACAAUGGGACUGAGAUACGGCCCAGACUCCUACGGGAGGCAGCGGUGGGGAAUAUUGCACAAUGGGCGGAAGCCUGAUGCAGCAACGCCGCGUGCGGGAUGACGGCCUUCGGGUUGUAAACCGCUUUCGCCUGUGACGAAGCGUGAGUGACGGUAAUGGGUAAAGAAGCACCGGCUAACUACGUG